rnacentral:piRNA from 1 species
UGAGAGCUCAGAAGUCAUGUAGCCUUAUC